UCUGGGAUUAGAUACCCUGUUAUUUAAAAUGUAAAUAAUUUAUUUAGGUAGUAAUAGUUAUGUUCUUGAAACUUAAAAAAUUUGGCGGUAUUUUAGUCUAUUCAGAGGAACCUGUUCUGUAAUUGAUAAUCCACGUUGGACCUUACUUAAAUUUGUUUUGCAAUUUAUAUACCGUUGUUAUUAAAAUAUUUUUGAGAAUAAUAAUAUUUAAUAAUUUUGAUAAAAAUUUAUAUCAAAUCAAGGUGUAGUUUAUGUUUAAGUAGAAAUGGGUUACAUUAAAGUUAUUUAUGAAUAUAAAUAUGAAAAAUUUAUUGAAAUUGGAUUUGAUUGUAAAGUUAUAAAGAUUAAUAAUUUGAUUUUAGCUCUAAAAUAUGUACAAAUCGCCCG
rnacentral:rRNA from 1 species